rnacentral:lncRNA from 1 species
UGGCUUGCAGACAGAUAUUUUUUCCCAAACGAAAAAAAUAAUUAACAAAACACUAACAAAACACUAGCAAAACAUCAACAAAACAUAUUUUAAUAUUUUGUUAGGAUGUUUUGUUACGACAGCAUUUAACAAAACACCAAUAUUGUACUUCCAGGAUUUUAGGUUUGUAGUAUUUUGUUAAUGUUUUCUUAUAUCAGUAUUGUUUUAUUGAUGUUUGAUGUUUUGUUACUACAGCAUUUAACAAAACACCAAUAUUGUACUUCCAGGAUUUUAGGUUUGUAGUAUUUUGUUAAUGUUUUCUUAUAUCAGUAUUGUUUUAUUGAUGUUUGAUGUUUUGUUACUGCAGCAUUUAACAAAACACCAAUAUUGUACUUCCAGGAUUUUAGGUUUGUAGUAUUUUGUUAAUGUUUUCUUAUAUCAGUAUUGUUUUAUUGAUGUUUGAUGUUUUGUUACUACAGCAUUUAACAAAACACCAAUAUUGUACUUCCAGGAUUUUAGGUUUGUAGUAUUUUGUUAAUGUUUUCUUAUAUCAGUAAUGUUUUAUUGAUGUUUGAUGUUUUGUUACUACAGCAUUUAACAAAACACCAAUACUGUAUUUCCAGGAUUUUAGGUUUGUAGUAUUUUGUUAAUGUUUUCUUAUAUCAGUAUUGUUUUAUUGAUGUUUGAUGUUUUGUUACUACAGCAUUUAACAAAACACCAAUACUGUACUUCCAGGAUUUUAGGUUUGUAGUAUUUUGUUAAUGUUUUCUUAUAUCAGUAAUGUUUUAUUGAUGUUUUAUUACACUUAGAAUGAAAACCAUGUUUUCUUAGUGUUUCAUUACACUUGAAUUUGUACAUGCUAUAUUUUGUUGGUAUCUCAUUAGACUUAUACAGGAGCUUCUGUCUUGGAAAGUUGGACUCAAUUAGUAAAAUUUUGGAAUGGAAAAUAGCAUGAAAAAUAACUUAGAAAGCUUUUGUGAUGGAAACUAUAGUCACAGAAUUUUUGGGAGGUAUUUUAUUUUAAUGGAUAAAUAGACUAUAAUUGAACCGGCUCCCGCAGGAAGUCAUCAUGGCCGACAGCGUUGAGGCCUUCAAGAGGGCCCUUGCGACAUCAUCCCACUAAGCUGCAACGUUGUUUUUAUUUGCUUUACUCUGCACUGUAAAUAAUUGAGCGCCACAGACACCACCUUGUAUAUACACCAUUGUACGGCGUUGCCCCAGAGUGGGACCUGUACAAGAACGGAAGAAGAGUAUUUUUAUGACCAAUAACUACAAUUAACUUAAUUAAAUAGGUAACAAAACAAAUGGGAUUAAAACAUUUAUUGCAAUGCAACUUGUAUAUAAAUAUAUGUAUUCACCUUGCAGAAAAGUUCAUUUUGAACUAAUUAAAAAUUUAUUGAAAUAAUUAUCAUUACUUUUUCUCCUAGCUAGAGUAACACCAAAAAGAACCACCAAAAAGAACAUCACUAACAGUAGUUGCAUAGAUAAUAUUCCAUUUUUUCCACCUGGCUAUUAAGGGGUGAUAAAUUAAUCUACUGCAGUGGACAUGUUGCUUGUCACACAACAGGAGGUUACCACACACUAAUAAGAUCGUGCCUGCUUUAUAUUUAGAAACUCCACCAAGAGGUCAGCCAAUGAAAAUAAAGUCAGUGAACUACUUCUGGGGGCUGUGCAUGUGCCACAAAAAGUAAUCCUUAACUUUUUUUUAUCAGAGUAAUCUUUAAAAUUUAUGUGUAUCUAAAUGGAAUAAAAUCUUAUUCUAGUACAGAAAUAGUUUCAACAUCCUAGAAUUAUCCUUCAUUAGCUGACUGUAAAUGACACAUUUGCCCAAGAAUAUCAAAAUUUCAAAUCUAAUCAGGAAGUUCUUUGAGAGCAGGAUGGAGUUAUUUCACUACAAAGAAGUAUAUUUAUAUUGCUCCUUGUUUACUAUGUGCAGUUUAUAUUUAACAUGGAAGUUUAAGAGUAAUGAAAAGAAUACCAAUGGUAUAGCACCACAUGUGUAUGUUAGGUAUGGCACAAUUGGGAUCUGAUCAAUGUAUUGUGUUCAAAGAAGACUUAAUGAAUCCAGCAGUUCAAAAACAUGUUUUGCAGUGAGACGAAUGGUGGCAAAUGAUGGCUUUGUGGCGGUUAGUGAAAAAACUGUGGCAUUUUACACUGAUCAGUGGCUAACAUUUACAGAAAAUUUCUCAACCGAUAGUGACAUUCAGUUGAAAGUAAUAGCAUAUCUUACACCGACUAUACAUCAGAAGAUUGGUGAAAAAAAAAAACAAACAUGGCAAAAAGUGGAAAAUAUUGAUAUACUUCAAUGACUUUGGACCUGAGUAGAAAAUGGUGACAUUUUAGCACCUUAUUGUGCGUAUACUUUUUCUGGCAUCCGCUGCAGUCCGGUCAGGAUCCAUGCUGUUUGCUAAUGGUUUCUCUGGUUGCAAUAGCAUUUGAGAGCGAACAGCAUGGAUCCUGACCAGACCUGCGCAGAUGUGCAGGCUGGUCUGGAUCCAUGCUGGUCGCAAAGCCACUAUGUUUGUUUUCUCCUAGCGCGGCUCAUAUAUAAAUUUGUUUCAUGCAUGUAAAUAAUGUUUUGUUUAUGGUAUUUUUUCAGCACAUGUAAAGAAACACUAAAAAAAACAUAAAAUAUUUUGUUAGUGUUUUGUUUAAAUUUGUAACCUAGCUCUUUUGCAUAUCAUAUGUUUUGUUGGUAUUUUGUUAGUGUUUUCUUUAGCACAUAUAAUGAAACACUAACAAAACAUAAAGUAUUCUGUUAGUGUUUUGUAUAAACCUGUAACAUAAUUUGCAUAUCAUGUUUUGUUGGUAUUUCGUUAGCAAUGUUUUGUUAGUGUUUUGUUACCUCAUUUGCAUGUCAUUUGCUAUACUAAUAAAACAUCAUCAAAACACA